UACGUAGGGGGCUAGCGUUGUCCGGAAUCAUUGGGCGUAAAGAGCUCGUAGGUGGCUUGUUGCGUCUGCCGUGAAAGCCCGUGGCUUAACUACGGGUCUGCGGUGGAUACGGGCAGGCUAGAGGCUGGUAGGGGCAAGCGGAAUUCCUGGUGUAGCGGUGAAAUGCGCAGAUAUCAGGAGGAACACCGGUGGCGAAGGCGGCUUGCUGGGCCAGUUCUGACGCUGAGGAGCGAAAGCGUGGGGAGCGAACAGG
rnacentral:rRNA from 1 species